rnacentral:lncRNA from 10 species
CUUUCUUAAAGGAACCAGAAUUCUAUUUUUAUUAAGAAUGUUUAAAAUUACAUUGAAACAAAAUAAUUUCUCUUAACAAAGCUACACACAGUAAUCAUUUCAUUGUAUACCAUGUGAUGAUUUCUGCUACCCAUACCCACACCACCUGAAUUCACAAGGAAGCUGUCCCUGUCAACACCAAUUUACUUGUACUUUCUUUUCUCUUGAACUCUGUCAUUGGUUGCUACACAAAUCCUUCAACUUAGCCUUUCCAAUCUCAUAAUUUCUUGUAGAUGUCCGGAAUUUUCUCAAGGUAGAUGCUCAUUUCUCUCAUGCUACUUUUGAAUUUCCCCUAAUAUGUUGCCUUAAGUUAGAUAGUUUUUGGCAAAGAAUAGGGAUUUAUUAUAUCCUGUUGAAUGAACGCAUGAUCAUUAGGUAAGAAAUCAUUCUUGGAAUGAGUGGGGCUCAGGUAAAGAUGGCUGCAUUCUCUGUGCAGUCUAUCCCCCACUGUACCUACUUCUCUAGUAUCUGGUAGCUUCUCCUGAAAGAAACACCCUAAAUGUUCUUCUACCAGGCCUAAGCAAAGCUGGGAAGAGAUAGCUCUCUCAGGUGAUUUUCUUUCCAAUAUGGUAAUUUAACAAAAGUCCAAGGAAACAUAUGCUCCAUUCCUCCAGGUUUUCUUGUUGUUAUCCCACCCUUAAUCCUGCAGUGGGUAGUGUUGCCACCUUGGGAUGGGUGGGUUUCCCUUCAGCACAUGGAAUUGGUGCCUCCUUUAAAUCCAAUUUUGUGCCUGUAGCUGUAGCGGAGGGCCAUCUGACAGGAGUUGUGACCUUAGUUGGAGAAACACGGGCAUCGCCAACUCAUGGCAAACUAGCAAAGGGGAAAGUGGGGAAAUAAAGACCCACAUUCUCCUCCUGAUUUCUGACCUCCUGCUAGCUGAACCCAUCCAGAAGUUGGAAGGCAAGGGAACUCCUUAAUGAGAGCCAUACAAGCCAGCCUCUCAGGACACAGAGCAAGGUAGAUCAG